rnacentral:snoRNA from 1 species
AGUCCGUGGUGCGAGCAACAUCGGACCAAGUCUUUGUAACUCUCCCAAGCAUCGUACAUGCUCUCGUCAUCGAACUGCACAAAAGAAGAUAUAUCAUUACUCAAUCU